GAGGAUGUAGCACAGUUGGUAGAGUGCUUGCUUGAUUGCUUGAUAGGCAUAAGAUCCUGGGUUCCAGUCCCAGCGCCAUUA
rnacentral:tRNA from 1 species